rnacentral:rRNA from 1 species
GAUGAACGCUGGCGGCGUGCCUAAUACAUGCAAGUCGAGCGAACAGACGAGGAGCUUGCUCCUCUGACGUUAGCGGCGGACGUGUGAGUAACACGUGGAUAACCUACCUAUAAGACUGGGAUAACUUCGGGAAACCGGAGCUAAUACCGGAUAAUAUAUUGAACCGCAUGGUUCAAUAGUGAAAGACGGUUUUGCUGUCACUUAUAGAUGGAUCCGCGCCGCAUUAGCUAGUUGGUAAGGUAACGGCUUACCAAGGCAACGAUGCGUAGCCGACAUGAGAGGGGGAUCGGCCACACUGGAACUGAGACACGGUCCAGACUCCUACGGGAGGCAGCAGUAGGGAAUCUUCCGCAAUGGGCGAAAGCCUGACGGAGCAACGCCGCGUGAGUGAUGAAGGUCUUCGGAUCGUAAAACUCUGUUAUUAGGGAAGAACAAAUGUGUAAGUAACUAUGCACGUCUUGACGGUACCUAAUCAGAAAGCCACGGCUAACUACGUG